GAGUAACCCAGUAACAACGGGAAUAACAGAAAAUCCAGGAGACAGACCAACAAAGAAGUAUCUAGUUGCCAAAAAUAAUUUCUGAUUUUAUCACUCAAGAAAAAGAAGCUUGAAGCUUUAAUGAACAAUAGUGAAAAAGAACAUAUUGUUUCUUUAACUUCUAACUUUCAAACACUCAAAAAAUUCUUAAGAUACAAAAGCCUUUU
rnacentral:lncRNA from 1 species